UACGAAGGGGGCUAGCGUUGUUCGGAAUCACUGGGCGUAAAGCGCGCGUAGGCGGAUGCAUAAGUCAGAGGUGAAAGCCCAGGGCUCAACCUUGGAACUGCCUUUGAAACUAUGCAUCUAGAAUCUCGGAGGGGGUGGCGGAAUUCCAAAUGUAGGGGUGAAAUCCGUAGAUAUUUGGAGGAACACCGGUGGCGAAGGCGGCCACCUGGACGAGUAUUGACGCUGAGGUGCGAAAGCGUGGGGAGCAAACAGG
rnacentral:rRNA from 1 species